GCUUCGGUCGUCUAGUGGUUAGGAUGCCAUCUUCCCAUCUAGAGGGAUAAGGUGGUCACGCGGGUUCGAAUCCCGCCCGAAGCA